rnacentral:rRNA from 1 species
AACGAACGCUGGCGGCAGGCCUAACACAUGCAAGUCGAGCGAACCGCAAGGUUAGCGGCGGACGGGUUAGUAACGCGUGGGAACGUGCCCAAAGGUACGGAAUAGCCUCGGGAAACUGAGAGUAAUACCGUAUGUGCCCGAAAGGGGAAAGAUUUAUCGCCUUUGGAUCGGCCCGCGUUGGAUUAGGUAGUUGGUGGGGUAAUGGCCUACCAAGCCGACGAUCCAUAGCUGGUUUGAGAGGAUGAUCCGCAACACUGGGACUGAGACACGGCCCAGACUCCUACGGGAGGCAGCGGUGGGGAAUCUUAGACAAUGGGGGAAACCCUGAUCUAGCCAUGCCGCGUGAGCGAUGAAGGCCUUAGGGUUGUAAAGCUCUUUCACCGGGGAAGAUAAUGACGGUACCCGGAGAAGAAGCCCCGGCUAACUCCGUGCCAGCAGCCGCCGUAACAC